rnacentral:rRNA from 1 species
CAGUAGCCGCGGGAAUACAGAGGGUGCAAGCGUUAAUCGGAAUUACUGGGCGUAAAGCGCGCGUAGGUGGUUUGUUAAGUUGGAUGUGAAAUCCCCGGGCUCAACCUGGGAACUGCAUCCAAAACUGGCAAGCUAGAGUAUGGUAGAGGGUGGUGGAAUUUCCUGUGUAGCGGUGAAAUGCGUAGAUAUAGGAAGGAACACCAGUGGCGAAGGCGACCACCUGGACUGAUACUGACACUGAGGUGCGAAAGCGUGUGGAGCAAACAGGAUUAGAUACCCGGGUAGUCCCUGUCUCUUAUAA